UAUCUCUUUUUUUUAGUUAUUCUCAGUAGUUGCUUCUCUUUUUACACUUCUCUUUCUUCUCUUUUAGACGAUCUUCUCGGAGAACCUUUUACUGCACGGCUUAAUGUUCCCAGUGACUCUUGGAGGGUUCUGAUACAUCCUUUAGUACUGUUUCUCCUCUUCUAUCAUCACCUCUUCUUAGCUUUCUCCUCCCCUCGCACCCUCCCCCCUCACCCCCCUUUAGCUUGUGCGAAUCUAUUUUGCUUCAUGUGUCUGGCUUUCACCAUCUGUCGUUCUUUUUCUCGUUUUAAUUAGAAUGUUUUUAAUUCUUGUCUUGGCUUUUAUCCUCCUUGCUGGUUAUGCUUUGAUUGCUCCUGCUCCUGCUCCUGCCUCCCUGCUCCUGCUCCUGCUCCUGCUCCUGCUCAUUCUCCUGCUAGCAUCUACCUAUCGUCCUCUUAUUGUAACCUCCUGCGCUGCGUCGCGUAGUUGUACGUUGCUGCUCUGUUACUGUUGGUAGCGUUCGGCCUCACUAUACUAAAAACCGUGCGCCGUUCCCCCUUCAUUUGUUCCCUGAGAUAUGCACUGUCGCUCACUGCCUGCUAUGGAGAUUAGUUAUCGUGUAUCACUAUAAACUCUCCCUGUUUCUCUCGCACAUCUGUCGAUUAUUUUCCCAUUCUAAAUUAUUGUUUUUCGCAACUUUUCGCUCAUUUUUUGUCUUUUUUCUUUUUAUUGGCCUCUUGCCUAAUUUUUUUGAGAGGCGGUGUUGUACUCCUGUGAGCUUGGAUGUUGAACCCACUGUAGACUGGGCCAAAAUCCCUCCUGUCAUGGAAGUAACGUGUGAUUCUGAAACACUUUUGGAGCGACAAGUUGGUGAGGUUGAACUCCGCAUCUUGUGCUUCUCUUGUUCAUCGUAUUGCUACGUCACUUUCCUCCGUCAAACUUCCACUAAUCGCCUUAAUUAAUUUGGAGACUCGUUUCAUUGGCUACCAGAUUGCUUCUACCUCAUCUUAACUCUUAAAAAAAAUGGAGUAAUUGGCCUUUUUGGAUAGAGGAGUGAAUGCGGGAGUCGAGAGAGUGAGGCGCCUGCUGACUUACCCUACACAGAGGACCAGUCUUCCAUGACGGGCGGGGCUUUUCUCGAGUUGUAGAGGUAAACAUGUGUUAAUUUUAAGUCUUAGAGUCAAUGUGUCACCGUGAACCACCUCGGACGUCUUAAGACUUAAGCAUUGUUUAUCAAGGCUUCUUCACCAUAAGCAGCAGGAGAUUUACCUUUCCAUUUUGAUGCACCUAUCAGAUUUUUGCCAGGGUGCUCUCCCCUAACUCACCCCGGGUCCUGAUGACGAUUGUGAUAAAAUAUGUUGACGACUAGUGCAUAAUUCUUACGUUGUUAUAUUGCAUUAGACAGUAGUACCGCGGGUUAAGGUCGGUAGCUGUUCAAUUUUUUGACCGGCCGAACCCGCUUGUAUUUAUAGAUGGUUAUCACGCCCACUCGUUCCCCUGAAGCAUUAUACUGUAAACUGUUAUUAAUUAUAAAAGUUAAGUACUUUUGUUAUUGAUUAGAUACGGUUUAUAUUUUAUUUUUUGUUAUUAGUCUUUCCAAACCGUAUUCUUACUUGAUGAUGUUGUUGAUCUAUACCGCCCCCAUUACAGUACAUCCUCUGCCUCUUUAACAAAUAUAACACUCCUCCUAAUACUCAUUAAUACAUAUCCUAGCCCGUAGAUAGUAAGGAGCCCAGUUUUACUAUUGGUCAAAAAAAACUAAUAUCACUGACUGACUGUCCAAUCACUUAUCCCCAUUUCCCAUGACGUCAGUGAAAUCUCGUCCAAUCACUUGUCUCAUUUUACCCAUGAGUAUCAGUCAAUUACUCGUCCAGAGACAUGAACCGCUAACUCUGACGCCUGUGGUUUGUUACCCUAUGAGGACACCUUUAUUUCAAGUUUUAUCUUUGCUAACUCGGGAGAACUUUUCAUGGGGCUGCAAACUGAUCCUCUAAACAGGUACUAACAGGACGCACGACGCAGUCCUUUUCUAGUUACACGAGUUUCACUCAUUACAAAAAGGUGUGAAGAAAGAUGCAACGUGUGGCCAGGGGUGGGUACCUUCCACUAUUCACUCAUCGUCUAAUCACAACAGGACAGUAUUUGCAGCGGCUUUAGUACAGCUGGGAGCAAGGUAGGGACUCUCCAGCUGCCCAGUCAUACAGUUAAUAACGAGUCAUUUCACCGAUGACUUGGCUGUAUCUGACCGCCUUAGUACAGUAGAGAGGAGAACUGACCUCACACCAUAAUACCUGAUGCAAUAGCUUUACCAAACUGAACCCGGGGAAGAAGAGGCCUAUGUAUAAACUCUUCUAUACAAGUGAAGAGACAAAGGUUCUUAUAUGGUUGAGAAAUGUUGCAGGUGCUCAGUAAAGCCAGGCUCCAAAAGGUAUGAAAACCCGUGACACAAAUAACUCCCGAUUCAGCCGACAAGUGAGGUGUCGCACCUGACCCCACGUCGACUCACACGUCAAGAUAACCACUCGUGUGGAAGAAAUAGAAUAUCAAGUACAGUUAGCAGCUAUAAUAACUUUAAACGGCAAAACAUUAAACGGUUUUAAAUGUACUUGUAAAUACACUGUCAGGAGCAGCCACACCCCAGCACCAUUUGGGGCCUCGUCUGCCGCGCCACAUCACCUGCAAGACCAUACCACCUGUAGCAGCCACCACGCACCACCUGGGUCUCCACCUACACACUACUACUACUACUCCACGUCCUGCAACAGCUAGUCAGUCACCACUACUACCACCGUCUGUAGUACCAACCAGCUGUCUCUCGCCGCCACAACCUACACAGCUGACCUCACCUGGAUCAUCUCCACUCACCUGUCGUAACAUACGCCAUCUUCUCAAGGCGUAACACAGGUGGUGAGAGGGGGUUAUGUGUGGUUGUGAACGAGACUAGACGUUAAGUGUGUUCUCCUGUCAUCACUGUGCUGGUUAAAUACUACGUGUGAGUGUGUGUGUCUUGUAGUGUCAGUGUGGUGGUAGUGAUGGUGAUGGUGGUGGUGGGGGCCCCCGUCAAGCCAGGAGGAGGAGUCCAAGGCAACAACUGCUACAGUAGAUACCUUGUGAGCUCCAGGGUGGGUCUCACUUCACUCUCCUUGGCCAGUCUUCUUACCGUCACACUCUCUCUCAUUACUCCUCUUCAAAGCUAAGCCAAGUUCUUCUCUCGGUUACUAGUUAGGCAUUUUGGGUUCACGAACUUUCUAUUACGCCAUAUUUAUCGACCAUCGAGAGACAAUGUUAAAAAAGAGACCUGGACUAUUGUUUUCUUGGGCAGUUUGAUGGGUAGCCCAGUGUAUGAUGGGUAGCCCAGUGUAUGAUGGGUAGCCCAGUGUAUGAUGGGUAGCCCAGUAUAUAAUGGGUUAGCCCAAUGUAUAAUGGGUUAGCCCAGUGUAUGAAGUCUUCAAAGUUGAUACAUUUCUGAGGUAAAAUAUGGUAUUUAUUAAUGUUUUUCAAAGUCUACGUCUCUCGGCUUACUAAACUGAGUAUCUAAUGUUGUUAUUGUUUUAAUUUUGUAGUGAAAGUGAAUCUACAGUGAGUGGCUUAAGGUGUACACUACAGUAUAUUCUUGUGUGUCUUAGCAGUGUGUGUACAGUCACUCAAAAAACUAUCUGUACUUGGGGUGAUUGAUGAGUUUCACAAUGAACACUGUGACUCCUGUUGUCUCGGUAGGAUUGUCAAAAUCCUUCGUCCGUUGUGUCAUAUUUUUUCAACACAAUUUUGUAUAGAUAUUUUUUAUUUGAGUGACUUUACAUAGAUUCGUUCUUGAUUUACUGAGGCUAUUACUUUUUAUUUAAUUAUUAUAUAUAAGUUAGUAAUAAAAUGAAAGAGCAUUAGAAUAUAGAAGCAUGAACUAUAAUGUAACCUCCCUUUAACGAACCUAGAUCUAAUGAAUAUAGUCCGUUAUAUAGAGAUGGUUUCUGAUAUACCGGAAUUUCAUUUAUCAGACUAUACUUUCCUGUAUAUUCAGUUAUAUGGAGUUUUUAUAUAUAACGGACCUUGAUUUACUGGACUAUUCCCUCCCUUAUAGUCCGUUAUGUGGAGGUUUCACUGUAUUUGAAUGAAAAUGACUGAUGCAGCUUAGAUGAAGAUAUAUGAAUGAAAUUAAGAUAAAUCAAAGGAAUUUCGAUGUGUGUGUGUGUGUGUGUGUGUGAGUACUUUAGAUCAGAACAGUUUCCAUUCCUUCCCUUAUACAAAGAUGUUAACAAACCUCUCACUUGUUUUGUUUUGAGAGUCUUGCUGUGUUUGCUGAUGAUGUCUCUAAUGUUGCACACCUUCCAUGCAGAGAUAGAACCAUGAAGGGGCGGCAGUAGCGAGUUUCCCUCCCCGUGUAGCAGACCGCAGACAUCAGGAGGACCCGGGGAGUGAGCCAGCCUUACCUUGUUGCCAUUUCUCCCGUGUCGUGGCGGAGGUGUUUGGCAACCAUCACAUCAGCCAGUUAUCACCAGCAGCAGCCAAGGAUCACCAGCAGCAGCCAAGGAUCACCAGCAGCAGCCAAGGAUCACCAGCAGCAGCCAAGGAUCACCAGCAGCAGCCAAGGAUCACCAGCAGCAGCCAAGGAUCACCAGCAGCAGCCAAGGAUCACCAGCAGCAGCCAAGGAUCACCAGCAGCAGCCAAGGAUCACCAGCAGCAGCCAAGAACCGCUCCCAUCAUCACGACGAACCUGAUACUAAGAAGACUGCUGUUGGUGGAGGUGUGUCGUAUAGGAAAUUAUGGGAAUGGGAAGAUUUCCACUCCUCCAGAACGUCAUCCACUCAGCGUUCGUGUGAGAAGGCUUCAUUUUGUACCUUGUAAACAGCACAUGUAAACAAUGUAGACACAAUGUAAGGGGAAACAAAGUUCGUCUUUACCUGCAUCAGGAAAGACAUUAGUUGGUGAACAUUUUGAAUCAAACAAUUUUACCUUAAUGACUUGUAAAUAUUGAAUCACUGCAACUUCGUGAGUGUUGCCAGAGAAUUUGUAUUGAUUGUUUAGCUGAAAAGACAUUAGUGUGAUUUUUGUAGACUGGGUUUGUCGCCCUUGUGUACUCUUACAUAAGGUAAGGAAUGCUUUACCUAUAUAUUGGAGGCGUUAAUCCAUUUGUAUCCACGUUUGUUUCUUGAUUUUGUUGGAUAUAACUGAUACAUUUAACAUUAUAGUCUAAGUCUUGUUUACAGCUGUUAAUGUUAUCAGCUGUUGGAGCUUUAUAAAAAAAACUAUAUCGUGUACAUAUCCAGCAAUUAUAAGUUGAUUUAAAUGAUUUUUAUCUUGUUUUUGUUGACUAUAUCUACAUUCUAUAUAGGUGCUAUAAGUUAUGUAGUAGGGUAUAAUUAAACUCAUCUGGUAUAUUAUUACAUAUAUCCUAAGGUGCAUUUAAAUUGAUAUCAUUUUCUCUACUUCACCGGCAUUUAAUCUCAGCGGAUUGGCUUUAUAUACAUUUUUCAGCAAGUUAGCAGACUGUGAUGGUGUUAUGCCUCUCUGCGCGUGUUUCCCUCCGUCAAGUUAGGAGAACAGUACAGGGUAAAACCACACACACACACACACACACACACACACACACACACACACACACAUACACACUUCCCUGGAGGUAACUCAUCAGAAACUCCAACUGUGUAAGACUGGAGAAUAAUGUAACAUAACAACAACGAAUAGUUAAUCACCUUUGAUGACCUAAAACUCCAUAUUAACACAAGUUUAGAGUUCAUUAUUUUAACGAGAUUUUUCCAGUUUUUCACGCGGGCUUUUGACGGUCAUUAUCAUAAGUGUUUUCUCUGGGUGAUGUCCGAAUGUUCUACGGAAUCUGACAUUGUUGACAUUUCCAGAGUUUGAUUGAGAUGUUACAAUAGUGCAUGACAAGUGAUUGCGUGUAUGUAUGCCUAAAUACCAUUGCAAUUGAGUAUAACCAUAUAUUCCAGUUUUCCCUCCAUUUCAUGAUAUAAUAAUUCUAAAAAAAAAAAAUGAUUGAAGUCUGUUUUGUUUAUGUCUCUGCCUUAGACGUGUUGGUUAAAUUGCUAUUCGCCAUUUGUGUUACAUAUUGUAGACCCCCAAAGAAGAUUGUUUCCUGUAAUCUAAAUUAGUUUUAGCUAAGUGUCAUUGUUGAUUACCAAGUAGUUGUUCUUGGUUUACUAGUCAGUGGAUAGGUGUUUAACCGACCAGUCUUCCAAAGGGCAUGAAUAUGAUUUUUUUUUUUUUAGACUUGAUCGACUGUGACAAGAUGAUCCACUUUAUAUAGACGACGAUCCAUAAUCGCAUAUUUCACCAGUUUAAUUGAAGAUUAACGUGAGGUGAUGAUGUUAGCGGUGGUGUUGUCACAGUGGACGCUGGUCUAAAGCAACACGGUGUAACCCGCCCGUUUUAGAAGGUGUGGAUACGACCUACAGUACAGUAGACUUUAUAAUAUAGAAGUGUACAUAAUAUAACGCGAGAGUGGGGCGUCUUGUGUCCUGGAGCAAUAUUUAAUGAUAUAUAUAUGAACGUUAUUAAUCCAACUAGACAAUUUUUUAUGCCUUAUAUUGAAAUUAUAUAUAGCAAAGGACACGACAGUUAUGUUCCAUUAAUAUGACGUCACACUUCUUGCUGAUCAACGAAGCAUUUUCUAAGUUAGGAGACUUGCCAUGCGCCAUGCUGUACCGUAUGUUGCAUGACAAUUACAUUACAUUACGUAUUUAGGUUGUUAUUUACCCCCAUAUCUUUUAUUUUCACCAUAGUAACUGUAUCUAGGGAAUGUUUCUUGUUUAUUUUCACCGGCAUUGCUAAGCUGUGAACGUGAUCAUGAAUAACUAUGAUCUUGAAUCUGCUCGACAAAAUUAAAAUCAAACGUUCGAAAUUAUGAACCUUGGAAAAUUUUUCUCUCCGGAAUAACUUACAGGAAUUAAUACUCGAGAUAAACAAAUAAUGUUAAUAGAUAACAAACGUCUUGGGAUCAAAAUUUCGAACUAAGUUUCUCAUUUGACCAAUAUUCAUGACUUCUGACCACUGACCCCUGAACAAGCUGCCCACCGUUAUAUAUAACUAUUAAUUGAAGACUUUGAGAUAUAUAAUGUAACUAGAAGUGAAAUUGAAGAAUAUUUAAAAACAAGCACAGUAAUUGUUACGGCAGGCGUUUGGGGCCAUUGAAGUGUGGUAAAAUUAGUUCAAUAAAACAAGUGAAACAACGGCCGUCCCCCUGUCGACUAAGACACACACACACACACACACACACACACACAUCCUGAUAAUCUAUGGAUAAUAAUAGAAACAAGGAUUAACAAAAUUAAUUACAUCUAUAAUAAUUUAAUCGACUAAAAUGGUAAAUUAAUUAUGAUACAUUGAUAUACAUGGAUAUACAUAAACAUGAAUCCAGUCAAAUAAAGGAUUUAAAGUUAAUAAAUCGCUUUUUUCAGGAUAAUAGAGUUUUUGCUAAUACAACAUUUAUACAGAAAAGAACAAUGUUACUACAAUACCCACAAUACAAUCACACCUUUAAACUUACUGUAAAGUCAAGAUAAAUUCCCUUUGUUGUUAUUGACAGUACACAGUGACAAGGUGGAGUGUGUGUGUGUGGAGGCAGGGGGGCAGGGUGGAGUAUGAGCGACCAGUGGAGGCAGGGGGGCGGGGUGGAGUAUGAGCGACCAGUCCACCUGAAGUUUACUGUAACAAGCAGCGCAUUUCCCAACCUGAUGUAUUGUCAUUGUUAUUUCUGCUUUGUAAUUUUAAUAAAUUUUUAUACACUGAA